AUGGAAGCCGGGUGUACCUAAAGUCGGUAACCGCAAGGAGCCGCCGUAGGGUAAAACUGGUAACUGGGGCU
rnacentral:rRNA from 1 species